rnacentral:snoRNA from 1 species
CCCAGCUAUAGGCAACUGUCUAUAUUGCCUUGUAUCUUGGUAAGUGUUACACUGCUGGGAGAAAAGCAGUCAGCAGCUGGUGGACAUU